rnacentral:rRNA from 1 species
GACGAACGCUGGCGGCGUGCCUAAUACAUGCAAGUAGAACGCUGAAGAGAGGAGCUUGCUCUUCUUGGAUGAGUUGCGAACGGGUGAGUAACGCGUAGGUAACCUGCCUGGUAGCGGGGGAUAACUAUUGGAAACGAUAGCUAAUACCGCAUAAAAUGGAUUAUCGCAUGAUAAUCCAUUGAAAGGUGCAAAUGCAUCACUACCAGAUGGACCUGCGUUGUAUUAGCUAGUUGGUGGGGUAACGGCUCACCAAGGCGACGAUACAUAGCCGACCUGAGAGGGUGGUCGGCGACACUGGGACUGGGACACGGCCCAGACUCCUACGGGAGGCAGCAGUAGGGAAUCUUCGGCAAUGGACGGAAGUCUGACCGAGCAACGCCGCGUGAGUGAAGAAGGGUUUCGGAUCGUAAAGCCCUGUUGUAAGAGAAGAACGAGUGUGAGAGUGGAAAGUUCACACUGUGACGGUAUCUUACCAGAAAGGGACGGCUAACUACGUG